rnacentral:rRNA from 1 species
ACCCCGUAACUUCGGGAGAAGGGGUGCCGGCCGGGGUGGAGGGGCCACGCCCCCCGAGCCCGGGCCGGCCGCAGACGAUUGGUCCAAACGACUGUUUACCAAAAACACAGGACUCUGCUGAAGUCGUAAGACGACGUAUAGGGUCUGACGCCUGCCCGGUGCCGGAAGGUCACGAGGAGCCGUCAGCUUCGGCGAAGCGGCGAAUCCAAGCCCCGGUAAACGGCGGCCGUAACUAUAACGGUCCUAAGGUAGCGAAAUUCCUUGUCGGGUAAGUUCCGACCUGCACGAAAGGCGUAACGAUUUGGACGCUGUCUCAACCAUAGGCCCGGUGAAAUUGCACUAGUCGUGAAAAUGCGACUUACCCGCGGAAGGACGGAAAGACCCCGUGAACCUUUACUGCAGCUAGACAUUGGCUGCCGGUCCGUCGUGUAGAGGAUAGGUGGGAGACGCUGAAGCCGGGACGCCAGUCCCGGCGGAGUCGCCCUUGGAAUACCACCCUCGACGCUCUGGCAUCCUAACCCCUCGCCGUGACCCGGGAGGGGGACCGUGUCUGGUGGGUAGUUUGACUGGGGCGGUCGCCUCCCAAAGAGUAACGGAGGCGCGCGCAAGGUCUGCUCAGGACGGUCGGCAACCGUCCCUCUGAGUGCAAGAGCACAAGCAGGCUUGACUGCGAGGCCCACAAGCCGAGCAGGUGGGAAACCAGGCUCUAGUGAUCCGGCGGCCCAGAGUGGAAUGGCCGUCGCUCAACGGAUAAAAGGUACUCCGGGGAUAACAGGCUGAUCUUCCCCAAGAGUCCACAUCGACGGGAAGGUUUGGCACCUCGAUGUCGGCUCAUCGCAUCCUGGGGCUGGAGCAGGUCCCAAGGGUAUGGCCGUUCGCCAUUCAAAGCGGUACGCGAGCUGGGUUCAGAACGUCGUGAGACAGUUCGGUCCCUAUCCUCCGCGGGCGCAGGAGAACUGAGGGAGGCUGCCCCUAGUACGAGAGGACCGGGGUGGACGGACCUCCGGUGCUCGGGUUGUUCACCAAGAGCACUGCCCGGUAGCUGAGUCCGGUCGGGAUAACCGCUGAAGGCAUCUAAGCGGGAAGCCCGUCCCGAGAUGAGUUCUCCUUCUGGUAAGACCCCUCGUAGACCACGAGGUCGAUAGGCCGCAGGUGCAAGCGCCGCGAGGCGCUCAGCCGAGCGGUACUAAUCGGUCGAGCUCUUCUAAAA